rnacentral:rRNA from 1 species
ACGAACGCUGGCGGCGUGCUUAACCCCUGCAAGUCGCACGGAAAGGCCCUGCUUGCAGGGUACUCGAGUGGCGAACGGGUGAGUAACACGUGGGUGAUCUGCCCUGCACUUCGGGAUAAGCCUGGGAAACUGGGUCUAAUACCGGAUAGGAGCCAUUUUUAGUGUGAUGGUUGGAAAGUUUUUUCGGUGUAGGAUGAGCUCGCGGCCUAUCAGCUUGUUGGGGGGGUAAUGGCCUACCAAGGCGGCGACGGGUAGCCGGCCUGAGAGGGUGGACGGCCACAUUGGGACUGAGAUACGGCCCAGACUCCUACGGGAGGCAGCAGUGGGGAAUAUUGCACAAUGGGCGCAAGCCUGAUGCAGCGACGCCGCGUGGGGGAUGACGGCCUUCGGGUUGUAAACUCCUUUCGCUAGGGACGAAGCUUUUUGUGACGGUACCUAGAUAAGAAGCACCGGCUAACUACGUG